rnacentral:rRNA from 1 species
AGCGAACGCUGGCGGCAGGCCUAACACAUGCAAGUCGAACGAACCUUUCGGGGUUAGUGGCGGCCGGGUGAGUAACACGUGGGAACGUGCCUUUAGGUUCGGAAUAACUCAGGGAAACUUGUGCUAAUACCGAACGUGCCCUUCGGGGGAAAGAUUUAUCGCCUUUAGAGCGUCCCGCGUCUGAUUAGCUAGUUGGUCGAGGUAAUGGCUCACCAAGGCGACGAUCAGUAGCUGGUCUGAGAGGAUGAUCAGCCACAUUGGGACUGAGACACGGCCCAAACUCCUACGGGAGGCAGCAGUGGGGAAUCUUGCGCAAUGGGCGAAAGCCUGACGCAGCCAUGCCGCGUGAAUGAUGAAGGUCUUAGGAUUGUAAAAUUCUUUCACCGGGGACGAUAAUGACGGUACCCGGAGAAGAAGCCCCGGCUAACUUCGUG